GUGGGGAAUAUUGCACAAUGGGCGAAAGCCUGAUGCAGCAACGCCGCGUGAGUGACGAAGGCCUUCGGGUUGUAAAGCUCUGUCUUCUGGGACGAUAAUGACGGUACCAGAGGAGGAAGCCACGGCUAACUACGUGCCAGCAGCCGCGGUAAUACGUAGGUGGCAAGCGUUGUCCGGAUUUACUGGGCGUAAAGGAUGCGUAGGCGGAUAUUUAAGUCAGAUGUGAAAAUCCCGGGCUCAACUUGGGAACUGCAUUUGAAACUGGGUAUCUAGAGUGCAGGAGAGGAAAGCGGAAUUCCUAGUGUAGCGGUGAAAUGCGUAGAGAUUAGGAAGAACACCAGUGGCGAAGGCGGCUUUCUGGACUGUAACUGACGCUGAGGCAUGAAAGCGUGGGGAGCAAACAGGAUUAGAUACCCCAGUAGUCC
rnacentral:rRNA from 1 species